CCUACGGGAGGCUGCAGUGGGGAAUAUUGGACAAUGGGGGGAACCCUGAUCCAGCCAUGCCGCGUGUGUGAAGAAGGCCCUCGGGUUGUAAAGCACUUUCAGUGAGGAAGAACGCCUGGUGGUUAAUACCCAUCAGGAAAGACAUCACUCACAGAAGAAGCACCGGCUAACUCCGUGCCAGCAGCCGCGGUAAUACGGAGGGUGCGAGCGUUAAUCGGAAUUACUGGGCGUAAAGCGCGCGUAGGUGGCUUGAUAAGCCGGUUGUGAAAGCCCCGGGCUCAACCUGGGAACGGCAUCCGGAACUGUCAAGCUAGAGUGCAGGAGAGGAAGGUAGAAUUCCCGGUGUAGCGGUGAAAUGCGUAGAGAUCGGGAGGAAUACCAGUGGCGAAGGCGGCCUUAUGGACUGACACUGACACUGAGGUGCGAAAGCGUGGGUAGCAAACAGGAUUAGAUACCCGAGUAGUC
rnacentral:rRNA from 1 species